rnacentral:rRNA from 1 species
UACGUAGGGGGCAAGCGUUGUCCGGAUUUACUGGGCGUAAAGAGCGUGUAGGCGGCCAGACAGGUCCGUUGUGAAAACUGGAGGCUCAACCUUCAGACGUCGACGGAAACCGUCUGGCUAGAGUGUGGUAGAGGGAGAUGGAAUUCCGCAUGUAGCAGUGAAAUGCGUAGAUAUGCGGAGGAACACCAAUGGCGAAGGCAAUCUCCUGGACCUGCACUGACGCUCAUGCACGAAAGCGUGGGGAGCAAACAGG